rnacentral:lncRNA from 1 species
CUAAAAGCAUAAAUAUGUGCACUAAUAGUUGAGUAUUAAAUAUAUCGAUUGAAAAUAUCUGAAGAAUACAAAAUUAUAUUUUCUUUAUGAUCUGUAUUAGUUUUUAAGGCAAAAAUCAUGACAACUUGUUUAAAUUAUACUAAAUUGGAUACUACUUUUCAAAAAUAAACUCAAUCAAAAAUACUAUAACAUUUGAAUUUAUUUUUUAUUUAUUAUUUUUUAUAGUUUAGUAUUUAGGGGAGGUUUAGUUUAUAAAUUUCUAUAAAUAAUUUUUAAACAUUUAUAAAUGA